GGGAGGUCACUGCCUGGGGGUAGCAGUGAGGAAGGGCUGGAGGGUUCAAAGUGCACGAGAGGAGCUGAGUGAGCAGCCUUGCAUCUGCUGAUAUAGGCUGGGCACAGCCAGCAAGCAGGGAAAGCAGUCCCAGCUGAUGGAGGGGUGUGUGGGAGGCCAGCAGGGAUGGGAUUAAAGGAGGAUUAUCCACAGUCCAGUUGUGGCAGAGGCAGGCUCUGGGAGAUGCAUCUGCAGUGCAGGCUUUGAAGGAUCAGCUCUUCCAUGAAGCAGAGGAACUUGAGAGGUUUCUAUAAAAGCUCUUCUAAAACCAACAUUAGCUAAUCCCACAUCUCCUGAGAGCGCAGCCAAUGACACAAUUAUGCUCUUUGGUGAGUAGCUGGGCCGGCACUUGCAAUGGCUCUUUUCCAUGCAAAAUUAUGCAAGAGCAGUGUGCUGUUUUCUUGGUGACACUCUGCCUAUCCAACAAACAGGAGCAUCUUCAGCCAUCCACUCUGGAACAGCACUGCUGCCUGAAGAGCCAUGAAAAUCAAAUCCCCUAUUAUCCAAAAAAAUUGGAUGACAGUAUUACAUAUGAGCCUCGCAAUGUUGGUGCGGAGCUCCCGUUGCCAAUGACAGUUGCCAAAAGACCAAAAGACCUACUUUUUUUUUUUGAAAGAAAAAGUAGUAAAAGGCAAGAAUGCUGGCGGUUCCUGGCUUGAUGAAAGUCAUUUGUGCUCCUCUCACAGCUAGCAGUAGCCUUGUACAAAGCAUAGCUGAAUAAUGGAAUUACUCCACUUUCUGAGAUUGCUCAAUUAACUCUUGGUUAAAACUGCUACCAUUGAAACUUGAUGAGAAUAGCAGCUCUGAGGCAGUUUUAGAUUCAUUUCUUACUAAGCUAGAAUGGCUUUUCCCUAUAAUGAACACCCUUUCCGGGGUAUAAAGAAUGCCCUUUAUAUUAGCUAUGGUGCCUUCCCAGUAAUAGAUGCCUACAACACAAAUGCAUGGGAGGGUUCUCUGAAUACAAAUGUCACUUAUGGACCACUCUCACACCUUGAAGCUGGGAAUGCCACAAGACUGCUCUCUUUGCUUUAUCCAAAUUAUCUGUGGUGCAGUGGAAAACUGUUUUAAGUUCUCAAUGCUGACGCUGGGCUCCUGAAGGCAUUUGGCUUGAUUAGGAAUUAAUUGCUUAAAGCCUGAUGUACUGGUUUGCACACGGGGAUUUAGCUUGCUAGAAAAACCUCAGCCAUUUGCCUGAGUUUCUUUGAAAUUAUCAACGCCACUUUGCAGCCCUGUUAAAUGAAAUUGCUGACUACAUCUGGCAGCACAGCGUCAGGCCAGACGUCGCAGCGCUGGACGGCACAAGCGGCCACAGAGCCUUUGGGACCCUUUGGCUCUCAGCUGUGCGGGUGGAAAAGGCCCCUUGCCCAGCCUGGAGCUUCUCACCCUCAUCUGUGGUUCAUAUGGAAGGGAUAAAGUCAAUACCUGCCCGUCCUACCGUCCUCCCUCCUGUCUUGAUUGGAAUGGCAAAGGAGGCAUCCUUGGACUGAAGUGUUGGUGUUGCAGAGGACGCAGUCACUGCGGGCUGUGCCUCUUCAUUAAAGGUUAAUAUGACUGCAGUCUGCUGUUUUUCAUGCUAAUUGGUGACAACCUUCAGAAGUGCCCCUCUGUGCCAAAACAGUGUCUUCAGCUGCUGUGGGCCAGGGAUGAAAGCUUAGACCUGCAUGCAUGUGCUGGGGCACACAGGAUGGGGAGGCACAACUUCAGCAGGCUCCCUCAGUCUCAGCUCCACUGUUCUCCACAAUUUUCUCAGGACUACCACAUUUUUGAGCCCAGGGCAGAGGACUUUACUUUCAGCAUCACACACAGAGGACGACCUCCAUCCAGAAAUGGCCUUCCUAGAUCAAGACAUCCCUUUUUUUCAUGGGCCCCAAAGAAGCCCCAGGAGUGCUGCUCACUCAGAGUGGGCUCACAACCUCAUAUACGUCCCCUUCUAGGAACGUCUCCAGUCCUCGGGGCUGCCUGGCACUGCCACAGACCUCCCACUCGUGCUGGGUGUCAACAUCAAAGUAACAGCAAUGUUAAAAACCUUCCCUGAAUGCACAACCCCUUCACCUUUGUGGGGAAGACAAUGGGAAAGAGUUUGCAGUCCUUGCAUCUCCAGAAGCUGUGCAGUUUGGGAAUCCCAGUCCUGCUUUCCACAGAUCUGUGUCAGAUCCAGUUUGUCUUCCCAAGGAGCCACCAGGUCACCAAGAUCUCGGCUCUCAGAGGCAGCUAUGAUGCCAAAGGCCCAGCUCCCACUCUGCAGAGCCACAGGGAAGGGAUAAGGAUGGAUCACUAAUGCACAGUGCUGUCCUCAACUACCAGGUCUCACGAGAGCAAUGACCACCUGGGCUGGCAAGCCUUACAUCUGGGAAUGCAUUAGGAUGCUCCCAAGCAAGGGUACAGCCCAGCCACCUCAGGCCAGAGCAGCAGCCACCUGAGACCUGAGUUUUCUCCAGCCCAUGGUAAUUCUUGGUGGGUGAAUGAGCUCAGAGACAGGCUGGGGCUGGGACGGGGCAGAGGAGAGGGGAGAUACCUCAGAGCCAGUGUCCAAGCCGGGCAGUCCACAUUCCUGAGACGUGCAGUCUGAUAUGCCACUGGCUCCAAAAGCACAGCUUAUGACAAGACACAUAAUAUUAAUGUCAUCCAGAGUCUGGCUAGGAGGAGAAUGGAAAGAAUUCCUGAAUGAACGCAGACAGCCCCUGUGCUGACGGGAAAGUCUCCAGCCCCACACAUCAGGCCAGCACUGCCUGUUAUCAGACUGCCUUUCCCACUGGAAGGAGGAAACAGGAAUGAAAGGCACUUUUCCUCACCAUUAAAAGUUUAUGCAAGUGAUUUAUGGGUCAGAAAAAUUAGCAAGUGCGUUGCUGAGUGCUCCAUACAGCAGCAUGUGUUACGUGGCUGCUGACCAGAAAUGCCAAGACCCAUUAGGUGGAAGCAAAGGGCAGCAUGAUGGAAAGUUAAAGAUGCUUUUUGCCGAUUUAAUUAAUUAGCCAGGUCUUUUCUCCAUCCCCUGCAGCCUUCAUUAAUGUAAUGUUGAAGUGAAGAAAUAUUAACAAUUCAGACAACACAUUAAUAUUAACACAACACCUGCAAAAUGCAAGUGUAAGUCCAUUAGGUAAACAUGAUCUUAAGCCAUUGAGGCAGAAAUAAUAUUCUGACAUUUCCUUGCACAAGUAUCCUGCAGAGAUACUGUCCAUCAUUUAUGCUCCCUUAUAAGCCAUGGCCCCUGGCACAUGGGGGGCUCUUCAUCUGUUACUAGUCCCUGAAAUGAUGAGAAAAACUUACAUUUCUAUUAAGAUAUUUACCCGUUCCAUAUGGAAAGUGUCUUACUAAAGCCAUGUUGUGAACCAGAAAGAUCAGAAGGGAUUUUUAAAAGGAUUUUAUCUCUGUGCCAGCAAGGGAUGGAGAUAAAACCUGAACCUGAUAGCUUGUAAAUAUUAACCUACACUUGGGAAUGCUCCAGAACAUCAGCUUUCUAUUAUGGUGGUUUCAUCUGAGACAAGUUUUCAUUAAGGGAGGAACAAACAGUUAAUCACCCAGAGAACUGAUAGCACCACAGGGAGUCACAGACUGCUAGAACCAGCCUUCCUGUUUCACAUUCCCCAUCAGCUACUGUUCUCCCAGACAUUCCUGCUGAGAAGAUAUUCACAUCCUGUGUGUGUUACACCCUUCAGCCUUUGGACUUGCUUUCUCCUAGUCUACCUGGCAUUAAAGAGUUGAUUACUUCCAAAGCAGGAGAUAAUCUGAUGGUCAAGGGGGAAAUAAAGAAUACUGGAUGAACAUUCCAGACUAGAAGCAUACUCUGAGAUGGUCAAUGACUGGGAGAGCAUACAUCCACCAACCAGGAUGUGACCCAGGGACAAACAAGAAAGAGCCUGCAGAAACUCAUUAAGAGAUGAACAACAAAAGAUAACAAAAAAAGAGAUUAAAACACCAAAACCAUGGAAAGUAACCUCCAUAAUCUGGCAGCCAAAGGCAGCGGUGGCACAACAACUCAGCAUACAUCCUUGAUGUUCAUGAAGUGGAAGUCAGGCAGUGACUUGCUAAGUAAUGCCCUCUUCUGGUGCAAGUCUCUGAUCCAAGCAAUGCAGAGUGACUUCAAAUUUGGAUUAGGCUGGCCUUUCCCCGUUGGGUUCUAGCAAUCCCCACCUUCAACUUUCUCACAGCCUCUCUGGGUGCUUGUUCCAGUUCUUAACCAUGCUCACAAGUGUUGUUUGGGCUCAUGGGAAGAGACCUCCAGGAGAAGCAAUCACCCAGACUGGCCAGCCUUCAGCAAGGGCCUUGCCAGAGGAGGACUGCUCAAGAGAAACUGGCUGCAGAUCAAGGGAAUCAGAAUGACCUCUGGGACCACUGAUUCUGAGAAGAUCUGUGUCAGAAAAACACAUGUAACUUAGCAAAUUCCCAAGGUCCCCAGCAGACAAAACCCAAAGGUAGCUGCUCCCUGGCCAUGGGAUGCUCUGCUGGGGGUGCUGCUUUCCAGGCAGGGCCAUGGGUCAGGGCUCACAGCACUGCCCAGCAUUGCUCUGGUUCAACCUCAGAUUUGCAGUUGUAGCACUGAGUGUGGGCAGGUUAAGGGGAACAGUUGUAUCAAUACAGAGCGAGGGAUCCAGCUGGCUCUGGCUGUAUUAUUCUUGGUCUGAAAUUAUUGCAAAGCAAUCGUGAACCUUCUAGUUACCAGGACUUUCAAAGACAUGGAAACCCAAGGGGGAGGGAAGCAAGGUGCGGGGAACACUGACAGCAGAUGGGGGUUAAAACAACCAAUAAAAGUUGGCAGGGAAAUGAAAGGGAAAUGGGCAACAGAGAAUUUGGGGGUGAUGUUUUCUAAAUAUGCUACUGAAAUACUCUGGAUAACUUCUGCUUUCAAGCAGCCUCUUGGCAGAUUACAAUGUCCCAGAAGGUUUUAUAUCCAGCUCCUACGAUCUUAAACUAAAUAUUAGGUGAGAAAAACAUGCUUCUAAGGAAAAGUCAAACAUAGCCCUGAGUGAAAAACAAUGAUCAGGAGAACGAACAUAUUGGGUUUGUUGAAUAUACGACCAACAUCCGUUUUCUUGCCCAAAAAAUAAAGCCAAGGGAAUAAAACGCAGAGAUGAGCAGAAUGGAAAAGCUGCAGGAAAUUUAGGCAGUCUCCCCCCACCCCACAUAUUUCCCCAGGCAGGACUCUCACCCUGCCUGGCCUCAGCCAGCAGGCUUGGAGCUUUGCCUUGAAUUCCUAAGAGAGCCUUACCCCCUCUGCAGCAGGAUGGGCUCAAGGUACAAUGGGUCUUUUCCAUCUGUAACUUCUCUCCCUUGACUUUUAUGUGCAUCGAUUCAAAAGCUAUUUGAUUUACUGAUGCAGGGGCUGUGAAGAGUCUAGUUUGGUCUAAGGACAGCCUGAGGUUAAAGGCAGCAGUGCAAUUUCACCACCCUGUCCAUUACAAGAAAAUGUUCAGAUCUGGAUUUACAGUCAUGUUCCAGUGAGCCCACACAUCAUGGCAGGCUGAAAUUAGCCUCAUUUUCACAAUAGGGUUGAGUAAAAAUGGAUAAACAUCCCACUGGAGGUGGACACCCCAUGGAGAAAGCCAUGGGAGCGGGUCCUGAACAGCACCUUGGAGGGCAUGUGGCUGUGGGUGACAGAGAGCUCUUUGUCUCCAGAUGGAGCUACUGCCAGCCAGAUGGCAGGUGAGGAUAGAUGAGGCAGUUUCAAUGAGACCAUAACAGGUGAGGAUGAGUGGCAUGGGACCUAUCACUGUAAGCAAGGGAGAAUCGUAUCCUUCAGGUCCAGAGAUGGAUAUGAUGACUCUCCAGAGCUGCACUGUAAGAAAGGACUUUGUAAUAUGUCCUAGUCCCUCUACUGUCUGCAAAGCCUCAAAUGCUGCUGGGUAAAUUUAGCAAAUACCUCCAUCCCUGACUGUCACAGUCAUAACCUGGUUACUCCAGCUAGUUCCUCCAUUGACUUUUAUGGAUCCCUCAGCUCCAUCUAAGACCAGAGAAACCAAAGCUAGAUCCAUGAUGAUUUCCUGGAACUGCUCCUUUGGGCCAGGGUUUUACUAGACGAAAGGAAGCUUGGUUAAAAUUAAGACCUAGGUGCAAUGAAGAAGAACUCUUGCAACGUUAUCUUCCAGCUCUUCCAGAGUUCAGCAGCACAGAUAAACCUCCUGAAAAAAACCACCAUGACAAGAAAGCAGACACACAGAUCUGUCAGCACAUUUGUGCUCCUGAAACUGACAGAUCUCAGCACUGGAUCAUGGUAAGAUUUGCAACACUGUCAUCUUGCAAAGCCUUGGCAGUGCCUUUUAAUCCUUGGAAAAGGAGCACUCCAGGCAUCAGUUCUUGACUUUGCAUUAGAAUGUUGCAAAGCCAAAACAACAACGUCUCUUGGAGCAUAGGGCAUAUCCUAAGAUGCCCUGGAGCUUUCUUGUCCUACAGACAUUGAGUAGCAAUCUCCAAAUGACAAAACAGAAAUAAAACUAUAUAUCCUCACGCUUUGGUGAGCCUCCAAUCCAAGCCUGACAGAUACCUGGCUAAGACUACUGUGUCUCUCAGACUGCUUAACCCUUGAAUAAACAGGGGAAAUGUACAUUUAGAAGAAGCCCGGGUUUAUCCCUUUCUCUUCCAAUGAGCCCUAUUAACUCUUGGGGAAAAAUCAGUUUUCCCCUUUGAGACGUGUACCCUGUCUGUCACCAGCAGGCUUGGUGUUGUGUAGUAACCUCUCAGCAGGACAACCCCAAAUUCUUCAGUGACCCCAGGCCUGGAGCCAGGAAUUGACCUGCUGGUUCUUACUCUUUCUUCCCUUAUCACUUCCUGUAACUGGAAGAAUAGGGAUGAUAUUGCCUGUUCUCCUGAUCCCCAUUUCAAACCACUGAAGUAUCUCUUGAAUGCCCUUGGACUUCUUGUUGCAACAUCAUUGCUGCCCAUGUGAAAAAUCAAUAAUGGGUCAUAUCUGAGGGCCAUACCAGGGUGGGAAGUCUUCACUUUUAUAACUUGGCCCCAGGGAGGUAGCAGACUUCCCUAAGGACUGGGUCUGAUCUAUCCAUUGGGCCUUUGGCUCUCUACCAAGGGUGACUCAGUGUAACAUCCAAGUAAAAGCUUUGGAAGCUUCCUCCAGCUGAUCAACCUGUUGAAUCUGGACAGCUGAGAAGGAUGGUGAAGCUCCAUCAGAUACCCUUCCCUGACCAGUUUCAGCAGGGGACAAACCCACUCAGAACCACUGCCUGCAGCAGCAACAUGACCGUGCCAAGAGUUGUUAAGAAAGGGGACACACAAUAGUUAAAACAGACAAUCCAAGUACCUGGAAAAGGGCAGGGAUUACAAGAAUCUGGUAACUCACCACAGGGGACACAACAGCUUCUGUUACUGCCCACACUUCAUGUGCUCACUUACUGCUGCCUGGACAUGACAGACACCAGCAGCUUCUGUGGAUGCUUGUA